AUAAGAAGGUAAGAAGGCUGCAGCUUCCACCGGGCCUCUUGGGCUGUGUACUCUUGACACUCUUGCUCUGAGAACUAAGCAGGCAUAUUUCAUAUCAAAAUAGUAAAGAACUUCCUUUCCAAAGGCAGGACUUGCUUCUGUGAGGUACUGAGCCACCCGUCCCUGGAGGAAAGCAAGAACAGAGCAGAUCAGAGCCCAGGCAGACAUCUUGGAUGAUGGGGUACAUCUUGCCAUCCAGAGGCAAUGCUGGAGCGGGCAGUUGUCUGCGGGGAGGCCCUGGCUCACUCUGGGCCAAAUAACAGGACUGAUUGCAGCCUGCGAUGAAACAUCCUGUUUCUCCCAACCAGAAACAGGUAGAGGAGCUGCUUUAGGAUGGAAGAUGAGGCUUGCUUUUUCUUUCUCCUAGAAGUCAGCAUUUUACAUGAUUCUGGGAGGGAAGAAAGGAGACAGGAACCAAGGAGCCUGAGUGGGGAUUUGCCCACCACUGGGCAGCCAGGCUCCCGUCAGGAAGGCUUUUCAGAGGGAGUGUUGGAAGGAGUCGUCGAGGAGUCUUCCUCACCCAGGAAGUCUUCCUCACCGGGUGAGCCCCAACCUGCUGGACCUGCUCAGAAUUUGCCCAACAGGGGAUCCUGGUUGACUGAGGUCUGCUAAUUCCAACUGGCCUACGCUAAAUUCUCCCAGAAUGUCUUCAUCAUCAAUGAAUCGCUUUCCACUGACACGACGCCUGGAAGAACAUAAACACUGUGAGGAUAAAUGCCAAUGAAAUAAUAAUAAAAUAAACUUUCUUUGGUGGCCAGAGGG
rnacentral:lncRNA from 1 species